rnacentral:rRNA from 1 species
AGCGAACGCUGGCGGCAGGCCUAACACAUGCAAGUCGAGCGCGUGUAGCAAUACACGAGCGGCAGACGGGAGAGUAACACGUGGGAACGUACCCUUCGGUUCGGAAUAACCCAGGGAAACUUGGACUAAUACCGGAUACGUCCGAAAGGAGAAAGAUUCAUCGCCGAAGGAUCGGCCCGCGGCUGAUUAGCUAGUUGGUGAGGUAACGGCUCACCAAGGCUACGAUCGGUAGCUGGUCUGAGAGGAUGAUCAGCCUCACUGGGACUGAGA